UGCUUCCACCUUAUACACAACCCUUUAUGACGACCAUUUACUGCAUUUCUCUUACAUAUAGUGACUGAAAAUAGUGUUAGAAUGUGCAAAUACGCGUGCAGGAUACAGCACUUAUAAUUGCGAAGAAAGGUAAAGAGGGAUUUGGUGGUGGCGUAGUGCGGGGAGCGGCCGCCAGAUGGGGUCGGGUCCAGCUGGAGUUGAGAGAGUGAGGCGGGCUAGGCAGCGCCAGUCCGAGGCUGUGACCCCCAGUGACUAGGCGGGACCUCCGACCGCUCCCAGCCUGUCCGCACUUGGUCUCCACUUCUCGAGUCGAAUAAGGGAUGGUCGUGAUGGCAUCCAGGCGAGAUGAGCUGUAGCAGUAUGGCGACGCCUGGAGGUUGGCAGCUGCUGAUCAGGAGGAAGCACGUCAAAGGAUAUACCUGGAGAGGCGAAGGCAGAGUAGCAGCGAGACCUGGCGCCACUGUUUCCACGGAGAAGGUGAUGUAAUGGACAGAUGACGUUACCCAGGAGAGAUGGCGUUACCCAGAUGAGAUGACGUCGCCCAGGCCAGGCCCUUCAGGAACUAACCAUACGCCCGGUAGAUGAUGACCACUACAAUGGGUUGACUAUCCUGCUACAUUCACACUGCUGAUGGUUCACCAGUUCACAUUAUUGCAAGGGAAGUUACAACAAAACUUUGGAAAAUUGAACUGCACCACCACAGCUGAAAAUGGCCAACUGGGACAUGUAACAACAGCUGUCACCACCACAACACCAACACUGCACCACUUCCACGGCAUCACCACCAUGGCACUAUCACCACUAUGGCACUACCACCACCGGCACUACCGGCACCACCACCACCACCAUAGUACCACCACCACCUAUGGCAAGAAAGUUCAAGUUGGGCGAUGGUGUCUGGGAGGUUCGCACCUUUAGUCUCCUUCAUCGUGGUCAGCGACACCGAUGCCAGGAUCGACAUUGUCCCGAAUACGACCGACGGUAGCCAGGGGAUCACAGGACCCUGAGGAGGAAGUACAUGGUGAGUAGUUCGACAAGGCAAAAUGAGGAGGACAGAAGGCAUGGAUCAGAACUUGGACAGAAUUAUGGAAGAACUGUGUCAACACAGAGGAACAAUCACCAGGUAUAUGCUGAUGAAAGGUACGAUGAUGGCGGCCACCUGACCCACAGCGCUGCCAGUCUCCACUCCUUGAACCCGUACCUCGGUGGGGAAGACCUCGUUAGAGUAGACGUAAAUGAUCUGGAAGGCCGCGGAGAUGAACAUCUUGCCUAACAAAGCCAGCGUCAUCAUCAACUGCCAGUGUCCUGGAGAAGCAGAUCUGAGGUCACCGCCGAGAUUGAGUCCGUCAAACACAAGAGCCGCAGAGAGGAAGAGGAAGCAAACAGCCACGGUGAUGGUGAUGAUCUUUCGAGUGCUAAGAAGAGAUACUCACUAGAGGGCGGGGAACAUGAGGACGGAAGGUAAGGAGGCAGCCAGCUGCAACCACCGCCAGUCACGGAUGGCGUAGGCAGCGCCGCCCCACAGCAUCGUUCCCAGUGCCCACGGCAUCCCGG
rnacentral:lncRNA from 1 species